AUGCUGCGGAAGUCCGGCACCCAGCGCCGGCAGCCGGCGCUGUGGCGGCGGUGCCGUAGCCUCCGCCAAAUCAAGCAGGUCCACACACUCCUGGUCCUCCGGGGCUUCCUCUCGGACCCCUCCGCGCUCCGCGAGCUCCUCUUCGCGUCCGCCGUCGCCGUGCGCGGCGCCAUCGCCCACGCCUACCACGUGUUCGAGCAAAUCCCGCACCCGGACCUCUUCAUGUACAACACCCUCAUCCGCGGCGCCGCGCACACCUCCGCGCCCCGGGACGCCGUCUCCCUUUACGCGCGCAUGGCGCGGCUCAGCAGCUGCGGCGGCGUGAGGCCCGACAAGAUCACCUUCCCGUUCGUGCUCCGGGCGUGCACCGCCAUGGGCGCGGGUGGCACCGGGGCGCAGGUGCACGGCCACGUCGUGAAGGCUGGACUGGAGUCCGACGCGUUCAUCAAGAACGCGCUCAUCGGCAUGCACGCGAGCUGCGGAGAGCUGGGUGUUGCAGAUGCUCUGUUUGACUGCAGGGCGCGUGAGGACGCCGUGGCAUGGUCGGCGAUGAUCAGCGGCUGUGCAAGGAGAGGGGAUAUUGGUGCUGCCCGGGAUCUGUUCGACGAGUGUCCUGUGAAGGACCUUGUGUCCUGGAACGUGAUGAUCACCGCAUAUGCCAAGCGGGGGGAGAUGGCCCCAGCAAGAGAGCUGUUCGACCGGGCACCUGAGCGUGAUGUUGUGUGCUGGAACGCCAUGAUUUCUGGGUAUGUGAGAUGUGGCUCGCACAAGCAUGCCAUGGACCUGUUUGAGCAGAUGCAGCGCACGGGCAAAAAGCCAGAUGUUAUCACAAUGCUGAGCUUACUGUCAGCCUGUGCCGACUCCGGUGAUUUAGAUGUCGGCCGAAGGUUGCAUUCCUCUCUUUCAGAGAAGUUCUCAGGAACUGGUUUUACUGUCAUCCUCGGCAAUGCGCUGAUUCACAUGUACGCGAAAUGCGGGAGCAUGAAGAGUGCACUGGAGGUGUUUUGGGUGAUGCGAGAUAAGGAUGUCUCAACUUGGAACUCAAUCAUAGGAGGUUUGGCAUUGCAUGGUCAUGCCCUGGAGUCUGUUGACGUGUUCAAGAAAAUGCUGAAAGAGAAAGUCCGGCCUGAUGAGAUCACCUUCGUCGCUGUCCUUAUCGCAUGCAGCCACGGCGGUAUGGUUGACAAGGGACGUGAGUACUUCAAUUUGAUGCAACAGCAGUACAGGAUUGAGCCCAAUGUCAAGCACUACGGUUGCAUGGUUGACAUGCUGGGUCGCGCGGGGCUUCUGAAGGAAGCAUUUGAGUUCAUUGACACCAUGAAGGUGGAGCCUAAUUCUGUCAUCUGGAGGACGCUUCUUGGGGCUUGUAGGGUCCAUGGUGAGAUUGAACUGGCUGAGCACGCUAACAGACAGCUGCUAAAGGCGAGGAGCGAUGACAGUGGGGAUUAUGUGCUCCUCUCGAACAUCUAUGCUUCAGCUGGAGAAUGGUUGGAGUCGGAGAAGAUGAGAAAGUUGAUGGAUGACAGUGGUGUCAACAAGGAGGCAGGUCGCACGGUUGUAGAUGGCAGCACAAAGGAUUCAGUGCAGUCUUUCAGAGGGUCGAAAUCACAUCCUGGACUGAAAGGAUUUAUUGGUUGA
rnacentral:rRNA from 1 species